AAGAAAGUGACAGAACGGUUACUGUGGUUGACUUGAAAUCUACAUACGGGGGUUCGACUCCUCCCUUUCUCG
rnacentral:tRNA from 1 species